CCUACGGGAGGCAGCAGUAGGGAAUCUUUCACAAUGGGCGAAAGCCUGAUGGAGCAACGCCGCGUGAAGGAUGAAUGCCUUAGGGGUUGAAACUGCCUUUUUAAACGAAAUAUAUUGUGGCAACUUAUCAAUUAUGAUCGGCUAAUAACAUGCCAGCAGCAGUGGUCAUAUGCAGGAGCCGAGCAUUAUCCGGAGUGUCUGGGUGUAAAGAGGUGCGUAGGUGGGAUAAUAGAUAGCUUGUGAAAUCUUGUGGCUCAAACAUUAAGAUUAUUAGCUAAACUGUUAAUCUUGAGACCGGUAGGGGUAAGUGGAAUUUGUAGUGUGGGGGUGAAAUGCUUAGAUAUUA
rnacentral:rRNA from 1 species